GACGAACGCUGGCGGCGUGCUUAACACAUGCAAGUCGAACGGAAAGGCCCUGCUUUUGUGGGGUGCUCGAGUGGCGAACGGGUGAGUAACACGUGAGUAACCUGCCCUUGACUUUGGGAUAACUUCAGGAAACUGGGGCUAAUACCGGAUAGGAGCUCCUGCCGCAUGGUGGGGGUCGGAAAGUUUCGGCGGUUGGGGAUGGACUCGCGGCUUAUCAGCUUGUUGGUGGGGUAGUGGCUUACCAAGGCUUUGACGGGUAGCCGGCCUGAGAGGGUGACCGGCCACAUUGGGACUGAGAUACGGCCCAGACUCCUACGGGAGGCAGCAGUGGGGAAUAUUGCACAAUGGGCGGAAGCCUGAUGCAGCAACGCCGCGUGCGGGAUGACGGCCUUCGGGUUGUAAACCGCUUUCGCCUGUGACGAAGCGUGAGUGACGGUAAUGGGUAAAGAAGCACCGGCUAACUACGUG
rnacentral:rRNA from 1 species